GUGUCAGCAGCCGCGGUAAUACGAAGGGUGCAAGCGUUACUCGGAAUUACUGGGCGUAAAGCGUGCGUAGGUGGUGGUUUAAGUCUGCUGUGAAAGCCCUGGGCUCAACCUGGGAAUUGCAGUGGAUACUGGAUCACUAGAGUGUGGUAGAGGGAUGCGGAAUUUCUGGUGUAGCAGUGAAAUGCGUAGAGAUCAGAAGGAACAUCCGUGGCGAAGGCGGCAUCCUGGGCCAACACUGACACUGAGGCACGAAAGCGUGGGGAGCAAACAGGAUUAGAUACCCUCGUAGUCC
rnacentral:rRNA from 1 species